UUAGGAUAUUGGCCUCUAGCUGCAUCCACAUUGCUGCAAAGGACAUAAUUUUCUUCCUUUUUUAAGGCUGCAUAGUAUUCUAUGGCAGCUCAUAGUCCAAAAUGGACUUUAAGGCAACAAAUGUUUGGAAUUUCUUGAUGCUGAAACAACAACAACAACAACAACAAAACAACAACAACAAAACAGUUAAAUAGAGCCAGAGGAAACUCUCUCCCAGGAACUCUGAACAGAUUGUGCUCAAUUUGGGGAAGUCCAUCAUAAGUUCAAAUGGAAGUGUUCAAGGCUUCAGUCAUCCCAGUUGCAGUUCAAGAAGAGACCCAGACUCCAUCCAGGAAUGGGGUCAGACCCUCGUCAAGCUGGGACUGAGCCAUGUAAUAAGAAAAUCUUUUCAACUGGUAUUUGGAGGAUGCCUACAUUAUGUCAAGAAUUAUUUUUUUAUUUUUUAUUUUUAUUUUUAUUUUUUGUUGUUUUUGAGACGGAGUUUCACUCUUGUUGCCCAGACUGGAG
rnacentral:lncRNA from 1 species